CAGCGUGAUCUUUGAUUACAGAAUCUUUUAGAUACCAACUAGGAGUCCUAUUCUGCCCCCCCCAUCCCCGAGAAACUCCUCCACCCCAACUGCAUAGGAAUCUAGUGACAACGAAGCAUCCUAUUUUAGUCUCUCUCUGGGUGCUGGAAACCCUGGAAUUCCCUGCUACUCUCCAGGAAUGCACUGCUAUCCCAAGGAGCCUCUGCCCUAGUGUAAAAGGCUUUAGGUUCAAGGGGUGGCAGAGUUGCAGUGAGGAGAAAACUUGUUGCUAGCUGUCAGCUUUUGCACGGUUUGCCACACAAGCAGAGUCUCUUCAUCCAAAAGGCUGAGCUGUGGGAUGGAGGAAAGAAGACUCAGACAGGAUCGGUUGUGGCCUGCAUUACAUUCGGAGUUCUCCAGCUAUCCACACCCUACUUCCUCUGGUCUUCCAGCAAUAAUAAUCACCUUACAGUAAAGUUCCUGCCUCCCAGUCCUUUAAAUUGCAACAGCUACCAAUUUAAGAGCACGUAGUACCCCGUGUCUGAAACCUUGUCACUGGAGAUGAUGAUGCAGGAGGGUGGGGAAUUUGAGGUUGGCCUGGAUUGUAUAGUGGGAAUGUCUCAAAUAAAAAAUAAAUAAAUAAAACAAA